UACCGCAUACGCCCUACGGGGGAAAGCGGGGGACCUUCGGGCCUCGUGCUAUUAGAUGAGCCUGCGUUGGAUUAGCUAGUUGGUGGGGUAAAGGCCUACCAAGGCGACGAUCCAUAGCUGGUCUGAGAGGAUGAUCAGCCACACCGGGACUGAGACACGGCCCGGACUCCUACGGGAGGCAGCAGUGGGGAAUAUUGCGCAAUGGGCGAAAGCCUGACGCAGCCAUGCCGCGUGUGUGAAGAAGGCCUUCGGGUUGUAAAGCACUUUCAAUUGGGAGGAAAGGUUCACGGUUAAUAACCGUGAGCUGUGACGUUACCUUUAGAAGAAGCACCGGCUAACUCCGUGCCAGCAGCCGCGGUAAUACGGAGGGUGCGAGCGUUAAUCGGAAUUACUGGGCGUAAAGCGCGCGUAGGUGGUCUGUUAAGUCGGAUGUGAAAGCCCCGGGCUCAACCUGGGAACUGCAUCCGAUACUGGCAAACUAGAGUGCGGGAGAGGGAGGUAGAAUUCCAUGUGUAGCGGUGAAAUGCGUAGAUAUGUGGAGGAAUACCAGUGGCGAAGGCGGCCUCCUGGCUCGACACUGACACUGAGGCGCGAAAGCGUGGGGAGCAAACAGGAUUAGAUACCCUGGUAGUCCACGCCGUAAACGAUGUCUACUAGCUGUAGGGGUACUUGAGACCUUUGUAGCGCAGCUAACGCAAUAAGUAGACCGCCUGGGGAGUACGGCCGCAAGGUUAAAACUCAAAUGAAUUGACGGGGGCCCGCACAAGCAGUGGAGCAUGUGGUUUAGUUCGAUGCAACGCGAAGAACCUUACCAGGCCUUGACAUCCUCGGAACUUUCUAGAGAUAGAUUGGUGCCUUCGGGAA
rnacentral:rRNA from 1 species